CUUGGUCAUUUAGAGGAUGCUCGCUGAUAGUGCUCGCUCCGUAGGUGAACCUGCUGAGAUGGCCCGUAGUAGUVGVUVGVVUGGGAUGUGGAGACUGUGCUGGUGGAGACACAUGUGCACGUCUGCGAGUCGCAAACCCACACAACCUGUGCAUCAUGCUCGCUGAUGAUGGCUCUGCGUGGCCUUUUGACCGAGGCCUGGUGCUCGAGUACUUUCACACAGGCAGGGAAUGUAACGGAAUGUCUUGUCGUGCUUUGACGCACGGAAACGAAACAACUUUCAACAACGGAUCUCUUGGCAUGCUCGUGAUAGUAGAACGCAGCGAAAUGCGAUAAGUAAUGUGAAUUGCAGAAUUCAGUGAUGCUCGCUGAUAGUGCUGGCACAUUGCGCCCCCUGGUAUUCCGGGGGGCAUGCCUGUUCGAGCGUCAUUUCAACCCUAUGCUCGCUGAUAGUAGAUGCUGUCACCUGGCAAUGGUGUACCUUAAAAUCAGUAGCAGUGCCAUCUGGCUUCAAGCGUAGUAAAACUCUCGCUUUGGAGGUUUGGAUGUGUGCUUCCUAUCAACCCUAUGCCGCUCGUGAUGCUGCGAUCGGAUCAGGUAGGGAUACCCGCUGAACUUAAGCAUAUCAAUAAGCGGAGGAAAAUGCCUGCUGUAAGUGCUCCGGUAGAUGCGCGCUGAAGAUGCUCGCUGAUAGUAG
rnacentral:rRNA from 1 species